rnacentral:rRNA from 1 species
GGGGAAUAUUGGGCAAUGGGCGAAAGCCUGACCCAGCAACGCCGCGUGAGGGAAGAAGGUUUUCGGAUCGUAAACCUCUGUCCUUGGGGACGAAAGAAAUGACGGUACCCAAGGAGGAAGCCCCGGCUAACUACGUGCCAGCAGCCGCGGUAAUACGUAGGGGGCGAGCGUUGUCCGGAAUGAUUGGGCGUAAAGGGCGCGUAGGCGGCCUGUUAAGUCUGGAGUGAAAUUCCUGCUUUCAAGGUAGGAAGUGCUUUGGAAACUGGCGGGCUGGAGUGCAGGAGAGGUUAGCGGAAUUCCCGGUGUAGCGGUGAAAUGCGUAGAGAUCGGGAGGAACACCAGUGGCGAAGGCGGCUAACUGGACUGUAACUGACGCUGAGGCGCGAAAGUGUGGGGAGCAAAC